AUGAACGCUGGCGGCGUGCCUAAUACAUGCAAGUCGAGCGAACGGACGAGAAGCUUGCUUUUCUGAUGUUAGCGGCGGACGGGUGAGUAACACGUGGAUAACCUACCUAUAAGCCUGGGAUAACUUCGGGAAACCGGAGCUAAUACCGGAUAAUAUUUUGAACCGCAUGGUUCAAAAGUGAAAGACGGUCUUGCUGUCACUUAUAGAUGGAUCCGCGCUGCAUUAGCUAGUUGGUAAGGUAACGGCUUACCAAGGCAACGAUGCAUAGCCGACCUGAGAGGGUGAUCGGCCACACUGGAACUGAGACACGGUCCAGACUCCUACGGGAGGCAGCAGUAGGGAAUCUUCCGCAAUGGGCGAAAGCCUGACGGAGCAACGCCGCGUGAGUGAUGAAGGUCUUCGGAUCGUAAAACUCUGUUAUUAGGGAAGAACAUAUGUGUAAGUAACUGUGCACAUCUUGACGGUACCUAAUCAGAAAGCCACGGCUAACUACGUG
rnacentral:rRNA from 1 species